AACCAGUACCGUGAGGGAAAGGCGAAAAGAACCCCUGUGAGGGGAGUGAAAUAGAACCUGAAACCGUGUACGUACAAGCAGUAGGAGCACCUUCGUGGUGUGACUGCGUACCUUUUGUAUAAUGGGUCAGCGACUUAUAUUCAGUGGCAAGGUUAACCGUAUAGGGGAGCCGUAGCGAAAGCGAGUCUUAACUGGGCGCUCAGUCUCUGGAUAUAGACCCGAAACCGGGUGAUCUAGCCAUGGGCAGGUUGAAGGUUGAGUAACAUCAACUGGAGGACCGAACCGACUAAUGUUGAAAAAUUAGCGGAUGACUUGUGGCUAGGGGUGAAAGGCCAAUCAAACUCGGAGAUAGCUGGUUCUCCCCGAAAGCUAUUUAGGUAGCGCCUCGGACGAAUACUACUGGGGGUAGAGCACUGUUAAGGCUAGGGGGUCAUCCCGACUUACCAACCCUUUGCAAACUCCGAAUAC
rnacentral:rRNA from 1 species